UCAAACUUGGUCAUUUAGAGGAAGUAAAAGUCAUAACAAGGUUUCUGUAGGUGAACCUGCAGAAGGAUCAUUAUUGAAAUGAAAAAUGGGCGGGGUGUUUCGACGCCCGCCCGCAAACUUGGGCGAACGGUGAAAGCCGUUUGCCCUUCUUUUUACACACACGUAACAUAUACACGCGCCUCGUGCGCCCAAUAUCUUACAAAACUUUUGACAACGGAUCUCUUGGUUCUCCCAUCGAUGAAGAACGCAGC
rnacentral:misc_RNA from 1 species